CUACUGAUGAAGAGUCCCAAACUAGGACGAAACGGCAGUCCAGUAC
rnacentral:hammerhead_ribozyme from 1 species